UACGUAGGGUGCAAGCGUUGUCCGGAAUUAUUGGGCGUAAAGAGCUCGUAGGCGGUUUAUCGCGUCUGCUGUGAAAACUCGGGGCUUAACCCCGGGCCUGCAGUGGGUACGGGCAGACUAGAGUGCGGUAGGGGAGACUGGAAUUCCUGGUGUAGCGGUGAAAUGCGCAGAUAUCAGGAGGAACACCGGUGGCGAAGGCGGGUCUCUGGGCCGUAACUGACGCUGAGGAGCGAAAGCAUGGGGAGCGAACAGG
rnacentral:rRNA from 1 species